GACAGACAGACAGACAGGUCGCAGCGUCACAGCCCUGUGUGUCGGUCGGGACCUAGCGUUAGCUGCGGUGUAAGCUGCGGGGGAGAGGCGGUUCUUGAAGGCGUGGAAACCCACUUGACGUUACCGAUAACGGGAUAUCGAUCCCAAGUGAUCGGUGCCGAUGAAACGACCCGUCUCGUGUGGACCCGGAGGAGAAGAAGAGACUUUUACAGUCACACGGUUCUUCAGAUACAACCGGAAGGACCCACCAGAGCCCGGAUGUGUGGACUAACGUCUUGAAGAGGACUUUGUAGAGGGAGACGGACCCGAACGGAGCCGAGCGACACCGAGCGGGUCCGAGUGAGCGAAGCGUUUUUAACGGAGUUGUCUGGAGGAAACGUUUCUGUGAGCUCGUGAAGAUGUCUAAAGUCCAACAGCUGAGAUGUUUAGUCAACCAGCGACUAACUGCGGCUGCGCAAGAGAUCUUUGGUCUGUUUGAAAGAACGAUAGCAGAGUACGAAGAGGAACUUUGUAGUUCCAGAGAGGAGAACGAGCGACACCGGAAACGACUGGACGCUGUGUUCAACCCGGAAGUCCGGUUACAAAGAGCAGUAGACCCAGAGCCCUCCCACAUUAAAGAGGAACAGGAGGACCCAGAGCCCCCCCACAUUAAAGAGGAACAGGAGGACCCAGAGCCCCCCCACAUUAAAGAAGACCAGGAGGACCCAGAGCCCCCCCACAUUAAAGAGGAACAGGAGGAACUCUGGACCAGUCAGGAGCGAGAGCAGCUUCAAGGGCUGGAGGAGGCUGGUAUCAAGUUCUCAUUCACUGUAAAGAGUGAAGAUGAUGAAGAGGAAGCUCAGUCCUCUCAGCUUCAUCAAAGACAAACUGAACACAUGGAAACAGAAGCUGAUGGAGCGGAUUGUGGAGGACCAGAACCAGACAGGAAGUUAGAUCCAGAAAGACAUCCAGGACCAGAUACUGAUGAGACUGAGGACAGUGCUGAUUGGGAGGAGACUGAGGAACCUCAGUCAGCUGUGAACCCUCAAAACAAAGAAGUACCUGUAAGUGAUGUGAACUGUAGUACUGGAAAUACAUCAAUCAGCUCUCCUGAAUGUGCUGGAAGCUCUGACCACAAGGGACAUCUGGAGAAACCCACUAGCUCCAAAACAGGAGAGAAACCAUUUCAAUGCUCACUUUGUGGCAAAAGAUUUGGAUUCAAUAAGUGUCUAAAGAGACACAUGAUUGUCCACACAGGAGAGAAACCAUUCAGUUGUUCUGUGUGUAGUAAAACAUUUAAACAAAAGGGACACCUGAAUGCUCACAUGUCUGUCCACACAGGAGAGAAACCAUUCAGUUGUUCUGUGUGUAGUAAAACAUUUAAACAAAAGGGAUACCUGAAUUCUCACAUGUUUGUCCACACAGGAGAGAAACCAUUUCAAUGCUCGCUUUGUGGCAAAAGAUUUGGAUACAAUAGUGCUCUAAAGAGACACAUGACUGUCCACACAGGAGAGAAACCAUUGAGUUCAGUGUGUAGUAAAACAUUUACACAAAAGGUACACCUGAACAGUCACACAUUUGUCCACACAGGAGAGAAACCAUUUAGUUCAGUUUGUGAUAAAACAUUUACAGAGGAGAACGAGCGACACCGGAAACGACUGGACGCCGUGUUCAACCCGGAAGUCCGGUUACAAAGAGCAGAGGACCCCCACAUUAUAGAAGACCAAGAGGACCCAGAGCCCCCCACCAUUAAAGAGGAACAGGAGGACCCAGAGCCCCCCCACAUUAAAGAGGAACAGGAGGAACUCUGGACCAGUCAGGAGGGAGAGCAGCUUCAAGGGCUGGAGGAGGCUGGUCUCAAGUUCUCAUUCACUGUAAAGAGUGAAGAUGAUGAAGAGGAAGCUCAGUCCUCUCAGCUUCAUCAAAGACAAACUGAACACAUGGAAACAGAAGCUGAUGGAGCGGAUUGUGGAGGACCAGAACCAGACAGGAAGUUAGAUCCAGAAAGACAUCCAGGACCAGAUACUGAUGAGACUGAGGACAGUGCUGAUUGGGAAGAGACUCAGGAACCUCAGUCAGCUGUGAACCCUCAAAACAAAGAAGUACCUGUAAGUGAUGUGAACUGUAGUACUGGAAAUACAUCAAUCAGCUCUCCUGAAUGUGCUGGAAGCUCUGACCACAAGGGACAUCUGGAGAAA